GGCAGACUUAGUGAGACCCUGUCUCAGAAUAAAAAAUAAUUAAAAAAAUAAAAGGGGGGUGGCCAGGAAUGUGACUCAGUGUUUACAUGCCUCUGGGUUCCAUCCCUGAUACAAAAGGAAAAAAAAAAAAACUCAUAAACUUUUCAUAAAUUCACCUUUGAUUUUUUAAAAAAGUUUAUUGAACAGCUACUGUACAAGGCCCCUGUUCGAGUCUGUUGUCACAAUAUAUACAUUGAGUGAUCUCUACUUAUUUCUAUGAAAGCAGAUAAAUAGGUUUUACCUCUAGGCUGCAACAUCAGAAUCAAAAUAAACAUUUAUGGCUUCUUUCUUUCUGGUGCUGAAGAUUGAACCCAGGGCCUUGUGCACGUGAGGCGAGCACUCUACCAGCUGAGCUCUAUCCCCAGCCCUUAUGUUUCUUUUUUUUUCUUUCUUUUUUUUUUUUUACAGUGCUGGGGAUUGACCCCAGGCCUCAUGCAUGCCAGGAGAAUGCUGACAUUUAAGUUUCUAUGUAAGAUUAACCAAAAAAGGCCUGGGGAUGCAGCUUAGUGGUGUAGUGCUUGUGCAAGGCCCUGGGUUCAACUUCCAGAACCACCAAUUUAAAAAAAAAAAAAAAAAAAAGUAGAAGAAGAAGAAGCCAAAAGGCAUUUACUUAACACUUUGUUUAAAAGGUAAUAUCAACAGGGUAGACUUGUCUACCACCUUUUUGAAAUUGUGACUGGUCAUUGGAGAGAUGGCAAAGCAAGAGUCUUGGAGUGGGUUUUUUGUACCUAUUUAUUGGAAGGCAGUGACAGGUUAUUCAAGUGUGGGUCCAACUUUUUGUUAGCUGGCUCAUUAGUGUGACAUAUGAAUAAAUCCAUUGGAAAUUUUAGCUCUGUCACCAUUGCAGGUUUGCAGUUCCCAGAUUGUUCAUUGACAGACCUGGUUUUGCUGUCACCUGGUGUCCUCUGCACCAUCCUUAUUUCUUUUUGCUCAGGUGCUAAUGAGAAACGAAGCAGCCAGCAUACAAGAAAGAGAACAGGGAGUCCCGAGCAAUACAUGUUGGUCAGCUAGUGAGAAGCACCUCAGUAUAUUCUAUGUGAAUCCUUUCUGACCUGUGUUUUUAAGGUAAUGUCAGACACAUAAUGUACGUCCACCUAUGCUGACUCUAUUGACAUGGGUUGCAGGAUGCACUUUGAAUAGGCAACAGUGUAAGAAUCAUCUACCUACUGUCCUGGGAAUGAUGCCUGACUCCAUAUAGGAGUUCAAUAAAUAUUUACUAAAUGAAUGAUCGAGUUCUUUUUUUUCCCUUUUGUUUUAACAUUUACUUUUUAAAAAAUCGUAAGAAGGUCAUUAUAACACCUUCCUGCAUUUUCAAAAUUAUACUUGGCAACUUUUACAUAGCUCUAGGUACCUUUUUAAAGAAAUAGUCUCUUUUUAGAGCAGCUUUAGGUUCACAGCAGAGUUGAGUGGGAGGUACAGAGACAUCUCAUUUCCUCCAGCCCCCACCCAUACGUACAGGCAAACCGUCUAGGUACCCUUUGUCUUCUGCUGUGUAUCUGGAGGCCUUGCGUGCUAGGCGGAUGCUCCCCCCCCCCCCCUCCAGCAACACCCCAGAGGCUCUGACUUUUAAAGUCAGGUUGAAAAGUUACUACUCCACUGUCAUUCAUGCUACUCAUGCCUGAUAAGUAUAGGUGUAUUUAUAUAGGAAAUUUAAAAUGUGUUAAAAUUUUAAACAAGGUAAUACUUAAUCUUUUUUAAUCUUGAAGUAAUUAUUAACAGUUUGAGGUUUUGAGAAUAAUGACUUCUCCUUGCUCCCUUGAUGGCUAAAUCGGAGCCUUAACAACCGUGCACAGCUUUCCUGCUCUUUCUUCUUUGCCCUUCAAAGAUUCCUGUUUGGGAAGAACAUAGCAAGGCUGCCAGGCGAGGUAGCGCUUCCCCAACUAUGGGGGCAGGACAGAGUUCCUAGGAAGAGAGGAUGAAUGAGAUUAAUUCUGUCAUCUUCACUCCAACACGCUUGCACCCCGACUUUCCUGUGAGCAGAUGGUAAUUGAAAGGCAACAAAACUGGGGCGGCUUGGUGGGUCCAAGGCUCCUGUUCACAUCAGCCUGUUGCUUUUUCCUCCUGCGGUAGACAGGAUCCUGCACAAAGCCUGUGCCGCAUUUGGUAGGUAAAACUCCUUCGAGUCCCCCAAGGAGUUUGUAAGGGUCCUCCCCUACCGUGUGACCGCUCUGCCACUCGUGUUUCUGGAAGGACUGUCCAGGAUCUCCUGCUUCCCCUCUUCGGCCGAUAUUGCUUCCUGCAAGGAUUACUCAUGCUCCUGCAUCAACACCACCCACAUUUAAAAAUAAGGUUUUAUUUUGACACUUAAAAAUUGCAUGCUACCAAGAAUAAAUGAGUGCCCUGGGAAAUGAAUCUAAUUAGAUUUCAGAAUGUGGGUGUGAAGUCUCCUGGAAUUCGUGUUUAUGAGGAAAUAUUUGUCUCCUGUUUUAGCAACGUGUACUCUUACUAGCUAGAGCCUCACGGGGUGUCAAGUUUAAAAUUUUUUUAAAUCACAAGAAGCCAAAUAUGCACAUUAUAUUAGAGAGCAAUUUGGAGAUAUAUGAGGUUUUAAAAAUGCAAUACCACUAACAAUUGUUGUUGUUUUCAAGUGUGACCCAGCUGUCUUGGACUCAAGGACCCUCCCACCUCAGCCUUUCCAGGACCUGGGACUAUAAGCUUGUUUGUUUGUUUGUUUGUUUUGGGUCUUCCAAUGAGAACCAACUUUAAAUUUUUUUUUUUUUGUAGUUGUAGAUGGACAGAAUUGACUGAAUUUUAUUUAUUUUUAUGUGAUGCUAAGGAUCAAACCCAGUGUCUCACAUAUGCUAGGCAACCACUCUGCCACUGAGCCUACAGCCCCAGCCCAGAACCAACUUUUUUGGGGGGGUACCGGGAUUGAGCUCAGGGGCACUUGGCCAAUGAGCCACACCCCCAGCCCUGUUUUGUAUUUUAUUUAGAGACAGGGUUUCAUUGAGUUGCUUAGUGCCUUGCUUUUCCUGAGGUUGGCUUUGAACUCAGGAUCCUCCUGUCUCAGCCUCCCAAGCUGUUGGGAUUAUAGGCGUGUGCCACCGUGCCCAGCCCCAGAACCAACUUUUAUUUCAUAAGCCUCAUCCUAUUUGUAAGAUUUUGUGUUAAAUUUACAUAACUUCCAUUGUUGAUACUAACCAACCAACAAGAAAAGAAAUAUAGAUGGGACUUCAUUUCCUUAUUGCAAAAGCCUAAGUCUGUUCACAUUUAGACUAUAACAUUACAUGAAAUAUAUGGUGUUCCCUUUUUCUUUUUCUUUUUUCUUUUUUUUUUUUUUAAUUAGGACAUGCCAUUCUAAUACUCAGAAUUAGUCUUUGGUUUGGUUUGGUACUGGGGAUCAAACUCAUGGGCAUUUGAUCACUGAGCUACAUCCCCAGUCCUCUUUAUUUUGUUUUUUUCAUUUUGAUACAGGUUCUCAUUAAGUUGUUCAGGUUGGCUUUGAACUUGCAAACCUCCUGCCUGACCCUCCCGGUUAGUGGGAUUAUAGAUGUGGGCCAUCGCUCCCAGCCAGAAUUAGAUUUUUGCUCAGGAUUUUUUUUUUUUUUGCUACCGUGGAUUGAACCCAGGGAUUCUUUACCACUGAACCACAUCCCUAGCCCUUUAUUACAUUUUAUUUAGAGACAGGGUCUCACUGUUUUGCUUAGGGCCUUGAAAUUCUUGAGGCUCGCUUUAAACUUUUGAUCCUCCUGCCUCAGCCUCUCAAACUGAUGGGAUUAUAGACGUGUGCAAGGGUGCCCAGCUCAGAAUCUGAUUUUUCAUAGUAAUUAGUUCACAAUUCUUAAACUAGCUUCUACAGUUUCCUUGUAUCCAUUUCAGCAGCUACAGAUUCCAUUUGUACUUUUGUAGUCUGUGUUUUCUAAAACUGGAAACAGCUUAUACAUGCCUAAACUCUGGCCAUCUGGUACCAUUUCACCUGUAUGCCGAUCACGGAAGCCCUGCUGGUAAGUGCUCUCAUCCUUGAGUUGGUUGAGAGCUUGCGGCGCAGCCACUCCUGCUGCUCAAGUCCUUGGUGCAGUGACGGUGUGGGUGCAGGAGGUUGGGGAGUAGCCCUGUGACAGGAAAAGGGAGGAAAGCAGCAGAUCAGAACACCAGGCCCCGUGCGCUCCAGAGCAGAGAUUACCUAAUCAAGGAGUCGCUCUUCCUGCAGAAAUGGUCCGACUCCUUUCCCCCACCUAGCUCCUUUGUUAGCCGGGGUUCGCUCCAUGAAGAGUGGGACCUUGGCUACCAUCUUGCUCAGGCGUAGGCUGGGGUGCUGUAGAAAACAUGACCUCAGCUCAGAAGAUGAGGCCAGCCUCAGGGGACACGCCUGGCAGCUGGGCAGCCAGUGCUCUGCGCAUCAGCCCCACCACUGGAAACCCUCUCAUGAUGGAGCCGCUGAGGCUCAGAUGGAAAAGAACUCAUCCAAGUUCACAGAGUAGAAACCCGGAUUCAACCCAAGGUCUUUCAGGCUAUAGAUUCCCUUCUCUAUCUUUUUAUUUAUUUAUUUAUUUAUUUCCUUUUUUGUGGUGCUAGGGAUGGACCUUACACAUGCCAGGCAAACACAGCCACUGAGCUAGGGCCCAGCACCCCUCCAAACACUGUCUAUCUAUUUAUACCUUUAUUUUAUGUAUUUAUUUUUUAUAUGUGGUGCUGGGAUCAAACCCAGUGCCUCACACGUGCUAGGCAAGUGCUCCACCACUGAGCCACAAUCCCAGUCCCUCCAAACACUUUUCUUAAGUGCAUAACUUUAAAAGUUAUCAUUAUUGUUUGUUUGUUUUGGUCACUAGGGGUACUUUUCUAUUGAUCUUGCUAACUUGCUGAGACUGGCUUGGGAUCCUCCGCCUCAGCCUCCCAAGUGUCUGAGAUUUCAGGCCUGCACCUUUGUGCCUGACUAUUGUCUGAACUUUUUCACGUAGACAUUUUCAAACAAAUUUAGAGAAAACAAUGUUACGAGCCCCCAUGUCCCCGUGACCCAGCUUCACGGAUGAUGACGUUUUGCCAUUCAUUGUCUUGUGUCCACGUGUGCUUUUGGAGUCCUCAGUCUCUGGUGCUACGCGUGGUCAUGUUCUGCUUCCUUGCUUUUGUGAAAAACCAUACAAAGGACUCAAAUCCCCUCCCCGCCCAUCUUUUAAAACAUGAACAUAGAGAGAAAAAAAAACAAACAUGAACAUAGAAGAGAACUGACAUUUGUCAAGUGCCCAAAGCACCUUGGUUAGGGGAUUUCAGUACAGCCUCCAUAACCUAAAAAGCACCUGGUGAAUUUGCCUUUUGUCUCCAUCUUAUGGAUGAGUCUCAGAGGGAAGUCACUUACCAGGGUCACCCGGACAGUGAGGGCUACUUCUAGAGUUUUAUCAUAACUUGUUUCUUUAGUUUUUGUUUUUGUUUGGUUUUAUUCUUUUUUCAACACAAAGUAAGUUGAUAAUAGUUUUAAAAACUGCACCUUCUGUAUCCGUAGCUCACAGUUCCCCAUCCCACCCCUCACUCCUGUGAGGUUUUGCUUUGUGAAACUCUUGGGGCCUCUCAUAUUGACAAGCCGUGACUCACACUGCUGUGGCUGCGGACCUCGCAGCAACAGUCAUGAAUGAAGUUUAACACCAGCAGGCUGUCUGCUGGUGCUAAGUGAUCCUCUCCUUCUUUCAAACCCAGAGUUUGGGGUUCUGGUGCUGGAGGUAAGCCCGGGGCUCCUGCAUGCUAAGCAAGUGCUCUACCACUGAGGUACACCCUCAGAGAUUAGUUUGUCUGGAUCCUAAUGAUUAGUAUCAAACUUCCGACUUUGUGUCUUACAAGCGUGCCUUGGUGAAAGAAUUUAUUUCUUUACGUAUUUUGCAGUGCUGGGAGUCGAACUCAGAGCCUCACUCCUGCUAGGCAAGUGCUCUAUCAUGAGCUACACCCCGCAGGCCCGUUCAAGGAAUUUUAAUUGAAUGGAGAAAGAGCAAGGAGGAAUCUAGGUAUUGGCCUCUUUGGGGUACUCCAUAUGUCACAGGCAGGACUCUCAGUUUUGCUGCUUCUUCCUGGGUGUGGUGGCACAGGCCUGUAAUGCCAGUGACUGGGGAGGCUGAGGCAGGAGGAUCACAAGUUCAAGGCCAGCCCUGGCAACUUAGUGAGCCCCUGCUUCAAAAAAGGGGGUGGGGCUGGGGACUUUGCUGUGUGUUCGGCCCCAGAUUCAGUCCCCUGGACUAAAACAAAGCAAAACCAGAAAACAAAGUUUUGGUUCUCGAGGAAUAAGAAACUAAACAUUUUCUCUCAUAUCUACAGCAAAAGGAAACUUGGCGCCUUGGAGGAAGCUCUUCCCCUCCUAUUUGUGCAGCCAAAUCGAGAGCCGAUUCCUGGAUGUCGCACUGGGGAGAAGGGUGCAGGCCCUGGGCCACCUGCUCAGCUCCAGAGCUCGGGCUGGGCGCCCCGCUGGCCUCAUCUAAGAAUCUUUCUGUGCUGCCCAGCUGGCCUUGAACUUCUGGACUCAAGCAGUCCUUCCACCCCAGCCUCCCAAGUAGCUGGGACCCAGCUGCAGGCCGCCAUGUCUUGCCAAGACCAGGUUCUUCCCUGGGGUAGUUUGUAGCCUGUAGAUGCUGAGACAGACAGAAGCCACAGUGCCGCAUGGUGGGGACAGUGGAGGGUAGCUGUGGAAUUGUGUGCCCAGGAGCGAAGCCCAGCUGCAAGGAGCAGCACCAAGCCCAGUUCUGAAGGUCAGGUGGAGGUGAGAGGCCAGUGGGCGUCCAGGCAGAGGGGUGGUCCAGCCGCGAUCCGGAGGCCCCUGGGUGUGGGAGGCCAUGAGCUCUCGGGUGAGCAGGGCAUGUGGCGGGAGCCUGGGAAUGCAGACUGGCCGAGAACCACGGAAGGACGUGGCUUUACCUUGACAGCCCGCGAGAGACCCUCGGCCUGGGGAAGGCAGGCUCCGCUGGGCCAGUAUUUCAGUCUCAUUCCUUUUUCAGGUAUUUUUUUGGUUUUUUUACCAGCUGAACAUAAAACUCAAACCUCCAUCGCUUCUUCCUCCCCAGUUUCUCCUUCGCUGGCGUAGUCUGGAGAAGGCUGUCAGCUUUUGAACCUCAGCUCAACAAGAUUUUGUGGUUGGAAUGUAGCAUGCCUGGAAGUGACUCACAUAACCAAACUCUCAAGACUGAUGAACAAACCUAAAUGCACUGGGGUCAGGUGGUAGGGAGCACUGGUGAUCAAAUCCAGGGUCUCAUCCCCAGCCCCAGAAAGCAAAACUUCAACGUCCAGUGAGGGGUACUAAGGAGCCUGGAUAUUCGUAUUUGUUGAUAUGAACAUUCUCUUCCCAGAGGCUGAUCUCUGUGGCAAGCUAAGUUCUGCACCUCGGUUCUUGGAGAGCAUAAAAUCAGAAUAGAACUGGGUGAAGAUAAUGGCUGGUGACAGCAAGCUCUGGGAGCCGGAGGCACUUGUCUCCUCUGGAGGGAUGGAUCUACAUUAAGGCUGGAGUGGAGCCUUUUACUGAUACUGUGUGGAUGGUUGUUUUAACCCAUUCUGUUCUUUAGGCAGAGGGCACCAUAAUUAGUUAUGUGUAGAUCUUUUUUAUUUUAAUCUCUGUUCAAAAUUGCAUCUCAAAGAUGGCACCAAGAUUGGAUGUUGGGUAUUUAUCUCAUCACUUUCCAAAUUGGCAAGACUGAGAAUCAGUCAUUUUAUGAUCUAUUUACAUGUUUUCAAGAAUCUACACUUUGAGAAGCUCCCCUGCGGUUCUGAUAUGGAUUAGGUAGUGCCAUUUGGUUUCUCAUGCAUCCUUAAUCUUUGCCUUUUUUUCUUUUUUAAUACUGGGAUUGAAUCUGGGACGCUUAACCACUGAGCCACAUCCCCAGCCCUUUUUAUGUUUUGUUUUGAGACAGGGUAGGUCUCACUAAAUUGCUCAGAGUCUAAGUGCUGAGGCUGGCUUUGAACUUGCAGUCCUCCUGAGCCACUGGGAUUACAGAUGUGCACCUCCACAGCUGCCUGCUUAUUUUAUUCUUUACAAUGAAUUCAACAUCUAGCAGCAUCCUGGGGCUGCUUCUCUCCUCAGCCAGCCGCUUCCACGCCGUUUUCAGGCCCCCCUUCCUUCUGGCUUUGUGGUUCACUUGGUUCUAAUAAGUCAUCAUUUCUUAAAUCAAAUAGUAUUGCUGACCACCUACUACGUGGUAGGCAUCAUUCUGAGCCAAGAAAAAGGGCAGCGCGUAUCAGAUACUCCUGGGUACCAGCGUGGGGACCUGCGGUAAAGGGGCAGGAAACCCAGGGCGUAGCGGACGUGUGCAGAUCUGGUUAUCCAGCAGACGCUUAAAUAUGCGCAUCUGGAGUUUAGGGAGGAGACCUAGGCUGAAGACAUAAAUAUGGAUAAUCUGAAAGCUAGAAUUUAGAGGGUAAAAUUCCAAGCUCUUGGCAUAGCUAGAGUCCUCCGAGCACCGUUGUUUAACUCUGGACUUCAGGACACCUGUCAUUGCCCUCCUGACGGUGGCCGUGCCCUCUGGUUGCUGAAGUGUUCACCUUACUAAGAACCAUUGUGUGAAACUUGUUUUGGGGGUAGACUGUAGGGUUGAUUUUGCAAAUCCUCUUAUAAGAGCAUAACAGCGGAACUUGAGGCUUCCAGGUGCUUAAAGGUAAAAUUAUUCUUCCCGGUCAGAAAUGCGCAAAGCAGCAAUCAAUGGCCGCUGGCGGGCAACCAGUCUUUGGUAGCCAUCAGAGUUAAUGCCACCCAUGGUUCACUUUAAUAGGUUUUUACAGACAGUCUCAUAGAAUAGACUGCUCCAUUGAAAACUGCCCAUAUGCUUAUUCUGACCUAUGGAGAUGCAUAGAGAAGCUCAGAACUCAUCAAUCCGCACCUUGUUGGCUAAGACUUCCUGUCGUAACACAUAUUGUGUAAUUUUCCUCCUAUCUUCUCAGAGACGGUCUAAAACGGGUACUGCCAGGUCACCAAUGAAUCAGAUUGGGGGGACUCUCCUUCACUACGCGUCCUUCUGUUCUGCAAGGUGUCCGCCAUACCCCCAUCCUCAUGCCAUUCACAACGUGACUUUGACACUCCUCUGUGACGGUCUUGACCAGUGAGACUGGUGAAGCGCUACCAUGUGGUUUCUGAGGCAGAACUAGAACAUACCACACACUCUUGCCCCGUUCUUCCGGGGUGUCUACUUUUCCAACCCAGCGCCAUGUUGUUAAGAAGUCCAGUUGGCCCUGCUGGAGAGACCCCAGGAGAAGCCAGUUGCAGAGGUUCCUGUUGACAGGCAAACAGCAGUUGUCACCAGCCACCAGCCAGAGUCCCAGCUACGGCCCAAGCCAUGUGUUCCUAUCCAAAUUCCUGACCCACAAUAAAAUGGUUCUUUCCCACUAAGUUUUGGGGGUGAUUUAUUGUACAAUAAUAGUAAUUGGAACAGUAUCCUUGGAUGUUGUAAUAGAUGGUAGUAAGAGUACCCCCCCCUUUUGGGAGGGACACUUGGGAUUAAAUUCAGUGGGACUUUACAUUGGAGCUAUACCCCCAGCUCUUAUUGUGUGUGUGUGUGUGUGUGUGUGUGUGUGUAGGCUAAGCACAUACUCCACCAUAGACCUGCACCCCUGAACCCCCUCAUGUAUUAAAGGACAGGGCGACUAUGUGUCUCUUUAUUCCAGUUUAAAGAUAAAAUGAGAUCAUUUUCUCUUUGAAGAAAUCCCCUAGAAUAUGGAAUUGAAAAGUUGAGAAACAUUUAAGAAAUUUCAAUCUUAUUUUCUCUGAAGAUGACAGAGUAGGAAAGUAAGAUGUUCUGACAUGAAGACAUUAAGACGAAUUAGAGGCUGUGGGCGCAGGGUAUGCGCCUGUAGCGCUUAUAAUCCCAGAGGCUCAGGAGGCUGAGGCAGGAGGAUCCCAAAUUCAAGGCCAGCCUCAGCAACUUAGUGAGUUGUCUUUAUCAAAAUAAGAAGGACUGAAGAUGUAGCUCAGUGGGAAAGAGCCCUUGGGCUCAAUUCCCAGUACAGAAAAAGAAAGAAAGAAAGAAACUCAAUGAGCACUUCCUUGUUUCUGGUAUAAUAGAAGAGAUCAAGGAAUUGGGUACAAACCAGGCCACAGGAAGAACACUGAGUCCCUUCAACUGUGUUCUUAGGUUAUCUGAGUCCUGUUUCUGCUUCAUCCCAUGAGGACUGGUUCAUAGGAGAAUGCGUCAGUGUCGAUUAUAGCCCAGUAACUAGUUCUAAAGCUAGAAUCUCCAUGUAGAAUUUUAUGUAUAGUUCCCACACUAGCUCACAGAAAUGUUAAUAAUGUUAAUAGGAGGCUUGUAAAGGGUUCAGUGGUUUAAAAGUGGCACAUAAAUAGAAUCAUUAGGGCCACUGCUUGAGUCCUCAGGCUCUCCACUAGAUUGAAUGUCCUGGGUGUGACUCUAUAGGCAAAAAUACCAAGGAGUGUUUUGCUGAUCAAAAACUUUUUUGGCUGAGAAACUUGAAAGGUUUACUCUUCAAUUCAUUUUGUCACUUUGGUAGUUUGGCAAGUAAGUAAAGUAGGUAAAUAAUACCGCAGGCAGGUACUCCGUUCGAUAAAAGUACUCUAGCUCAGAGGCUUUAGAGGCUGAGGCGGGAGGAUCAAGUUCAAAGCCAGCCUCAGCAACUCAGUGAGUCCCUAAGCAACUCAGUGAGACCCUGAGCAGCUCAGUGAGACCCCGUCUCUAAAUAAAAUACAAAGCAGGGCUGGGAUGUGGCUCAGUGUGCGAGUGCCCCCGUGUUCAAUCCUCAGUACCAAAAAAGCCCCCCGGUUCCUGGUGGAGAGGGAAGCAGGACGGGCCUCCUUUCCUCACCUUCUGGAUUUCCUUGGAUGAAAAAAUUGUUCAAGAAAGUGGAAUGAACAGUCAUUAGACAAAACCCUAGAGAGAUGUUUGAAGCCGUGGGGUGGGAUGAAGACUUCCCGGUCAUUCCACGCAGACCCAUGAAUUCUCUUUGAUUAUCAAAGGAAGAUUGAGAACGUGUCAGCUGGACAAGCAGGCAAGGGCGUCCUCAUUAGCUGUGCUCUGGGUCUCACAGUGCGUGCUAGUCUAUAAAAAGAGCUGUCUAUUUAAAAAUAAAUGUUUGUUUGAUGAAUGAACCCCACCUAGCUCACAUGCUUGUCGUGAGGGGGCUGGCUGUUAAGCUAUUGCAGAUGUAAGCUGAACUAAAGAUGAUAGGUAUUAUCCUAGCAGUUGGGAGGCUGAGGCAGGAGGAUCUUGAGUUCAAAGUCAGCCUUGGCAAAAAUGAGGUGCUAAGCAACUAAUGAGACCCUGUCUCUAAAUAAAUUACAGAAAGAAUAGGGCUGGGGAUAUGACUCAGAGGUCAAGUGCCCCUGAGUUCAAUCUCUGGUUACCCCCCACCCAGAAAAAAAAUUCUAUGUAUUGUAAGUCCCAGCUCCCCCGGAGGAUCACCUGAGCCCAACAGGGGUGCAUGCCUGUAACCCCAGAGAUGCAGAAGGCUGAGGCAGGGGAAUUGCAAGUUCGAGACCAGCCUCAGCUGCCAUCAGCUUAGUGAGACCUGAAUCAAAAAAUAAAAAGGGCUAGGGAUAGAGCUCAGUAGUCAAGCCCUCUGUGGGUUCAAUUCCUGGUACUGGGGAAAAAAAACAACCAACCAACAAAAACCAAAUAUCCUCUGUAUCCUGACUCUCCCCUUGGCGGAGACCAGAGCAGCUGGAGAGGAGAGAAAAGUCCCAUUUACAUACUGUGUGCUGAGCCGCCUUGACUUGUGGUCCGUCUGAGGACCAGGGUCAGGCACUCAGGAGGCACAAGUGAAGAAAGAGAGACACCUACCACGGAGUGCAGGGGCUGAGAACCAGGCAAGGACCCUUAUUGAAGCAUGGUGUCUUUUUGUUGUUUUUGUUGGACUGAACCCAACAAGGGAGCUACAUCCCAAGCCCUUUUUACUUUUUAUUUUGAGGCAGGGUCUCCCUCAAUUGCUGAAGCUGGCCUUGAACUUGCAGUCCUCCUGCUGCAGCCUCCCCAGUCACUGGGAUUACAGGUGUGCACCACCACACCCAGCUGUUUAGUUUGUUUGAUGCUGUGCCACCAGCUUCUUGUACAUAGUAGAUGCUCGAUAAAUGUGGCUUUUGGCAAGGUUGAAAUGGCCUUGAUUUUUGCCCUUCGUCAACACAUAGUUUAGGCUCUUAAUUAACAACUGCCACUUGCAAACAUAGAUUUUUAAAAUGUGCCUGUGGGAGCCAGUUUUAAAAAAAGUGGUAUUAAAGACUGAGAUCCUUUUUCUUUAUUGUCAUGAAGUGAAGUAAUGAAAGACCGUCCGGGCCUCCGAAGAAGAGACACAGACGGCUAGCAAACAUGAAAAGACGCUGAACGUUACCACUGGCGCAUAGCCCUGUGGCUCUGAUCACAAAAACGUAGGGAAACAACAUGUGUCGGGGGUGCAGGGGGAGGAGGCGGACCCCCAGUCGUUGCUGGUGGGAAUGCAGAAUGGCUCAGCCGCUGGCAAAACCCACGGCAGCUCCCCAGAGGCUAGACAGCAUCACACCAUCUGAUCCUGCCCUGCGGCUGGGAGGUAGAAACCCCGAAGGACUGAAAACCAGGUUCAAACAAAUAACUUGUAUAGGUUCGUUCACCAAAGCCAAAAGUCAGGCCAGGCACAGUGGCGCACCCUGUAAUCCUGCAGUUUGGGAGGCCGAGGCAGGAGGAUUGUGAGUUCAAAGCCAGCCUCAGCAACUUAGUGAGGCUCUAAGAAACUCAGCGAGAUUCUGUCUCUAAAUAAAAUAUAAAAAGGGACAGGGAUGUGGCUCAGUGGUUAGGUGCCCUUGGGUUUAAUCCCCAGUACCAAAAACAAAAAAAACUGCCAAGAAAUGGGAAAACCCAAGCAUCCAGGGACAGCUCAGUGGAUGAAGGAAACGUGGUCCGUCUGUACAGUGGGAUGGUGUUAGGCCAAGAGAAGCCACGAAGCCCUGAUUGCACUGCAACCUGGAGGAACCUUAAAAAUGUUACACAAAUUGAAAGCCAAACACAUUACAGAUUGUAUUUACAUAAAGUAAAGUAAGAGAGACAGAAAUCAAGUUGGUAUUGGCCAAAGGCGAGGGCCGGGAGGGUGGGUCCUUGCCUGGUUCGCAGCCCUCAUGAAGCCUGUAGGGUGCUUAGUGACACAGAUGUAACUUUGCGUUGAUGAGGUGUUUAGAGGUAGACAGAGGUCCUGGGCACGCAACACUGAAGGAACUGAAUGCCUCAAACUCUUCUCUUUUAAAUGGUUAAUUUUAUGUUAUUUGAGUCCUUCUCAAAAAAAAAAAAAAAUAGAUCAGUGCUGCGCAUCUUUGUUAUCUCUUCAUAAAACAGUCGAUCUUUAAUCUUCAGAAAAGUUCUUUAAAAUUUCUCCCGCGGCCUGAGAGGAUGGCUGUGUUGUGUUUCUGGAAGUUUCUGUGAGGGCCAUCUGAGUGCUCCUGCUGCCAAGCCAGUCUGAGGGCAUUAGGGGCUACUUGUGGCACUGGACAGAACUCAAAGGAUUCAUUAGGAAUUGUUCUCCCUGAAAAUGAAUUGCCACCCCAUCAAUUGUCAAGCUAGCCACCAAAACUAGCACUUAGAGGCGUUUUGUCUUCUCCUUACACGAGGAGACCUGAGCUAAGGUAGCAGAAGGUGGUGUUUACGACGUGUGCCAAGGUGACAUUUUUAUACCUUACUGUAAUCACACCUUGUGGCUCAAGACAACCGUAAACCCAGGUGGUUAGAUUGGCUAUAAACGCCUUUCAGUUUGCCUGUGUUGUGAUUCACUUCCACUAACAUGUAAAUGCAAGGCCCUGACCCAGGUGGGGGGGAGGGGGACACAUAGGAAACAGCUUGCCAGUCGUCCUUAAGUUUAAUGGGAAUGAGAUUUCUAGAAAUUGUAUAGCAAAUUUCAUUACAUAAAACCCACCUGUUCUGAAUGACUAGUUGCCUUUAUCAGAAGGACUUUGAGAAGAUAACCAGCCGCUUGACAUUAUUUGGGAGACACUUGCUUUUCUGUUUUCCCAGUGCUGGGGAUCAAACCCUGGGCCUUCCACGGGCUAAGCCUCAGCACCUGUGGUUUUGUUUUCUCUUGGUUUGGUUUGGUUGUUCUCUGCAAGGGUGGGAUCUCUGUGUACCUGAGUGAUAGUGAUUGAAUCAGUGGCGGUCACAGGGUGUGGCACUGACCCACAGCCCCCAGGGCCAGCCUGAGCCCUAUUCUGAGCUGCCCGACACUUGAAGAAAUGGCAGCUUUUCAAAGUCCUUGAGAGUUGGGCUCGGCUGGGCAUUGAGAGCCAGUCCAAGGACCUUCAGGCUGGAAGGGAUGGCUCCCUGCUGAGGGGCCAGCAGUGCCUUCUCCACCGACUGGAAACUCUGCUGUUCCUAAGGCCUUUUAGUUUAGUUGUUGCAGAAAUAAUUUUCAAGUUGCAGUCUUGCUCUUCUCAAAUAGGCAAGACUUAGUGAACCAAAAAGGAAAAAUGCCCAACAGGAGAAGAGUUAGCAGGCAACCCCAGAGGACUGGCCGCGUGGGAGGGGCGGGCUGUGGGCAUGGUUGAGAUGAAAAUGAGCGGCCCGUAAUUUCCCUCUUAGUAUUCGAACUGAGAAAUGUGAUUAAAACAUCGCUCUGUUGCCCAAAAGGCAGUCAGCAGGAUAGCCUCCAAGGGAGAUGGAGCACUUGGUCUCCACCCUGUGGCCUUUGGUUUUGUUUUAAAUCUAGCGAGGCCCAGCGUCUGCGUAGGUGGACGGCAUUGUGCUGGGCAGUCUCGAGGUUCCUGCGCUCCGCGGGCCCUCCCUGCGCCGACCAGAGCAGAGGCGUGUUGCUCAGGUCUCCCGGUUAAUGAUCACCGACUGGGAACUGGGCCGGUUGGGGCUCCAGAGGGACAGUCAUGGUGCUGUGUCUUGCAACUUAAGUUACUGAUUUGUAAAAUGUCAGAGCAAAUUACAAAAUUGAUCUUCUGAAAUGUCUUCUUGAGCCACUCCGUGGGUGUAGCUUUUAUCCAAGGUCACUAUUAAAUCCACACUUUGUGGGUGUGUGUGUGUGUGUGGUGCUGGGGAUUGAGCCUAGGGCCUUGUGCAGCCAAGGCAAGCACCCUACCAACUGAGCUAUGUCCCCAGCCCUCCAUCAAUGCUUUUUAUGAAAUCAGUGCCAUCGAUGCUAGUUUAAUCCAGAAAGUCAACUUGGCUGGUUUAUGUCAGCUUUUAUUCUGGGGGAAAAUAUAAUGAUUUGAUCAA